CCUACGGGAGGCAGCAGUGGGGAAUCUUGCGCAAUGGGCGAAAGCCUGACGCAGCGACGCCGCGUGAGGGAAGAAGGCCCUCGGGUUGUAAACCUCCUUCGGCAGGGAAGAAGCGAAAGUGACGGUACCUGCAGAAGAAGCCCCGGCUAACUACGUGCCAGCAGCCGCGGUAAGACGUAGGGGGCGAGCGUUGUCCGGAUUUAUUGGGCGUAAAGAGCGCGUAGGCGGCCCGGAAAGUCGGUUGUGAAAACCCGGGGCUUAACCCCGGGCCUGCAUCCGAUACUGUCGGGCUAGAGGCAGACAGGGGAGAGUGGAAUUCCUGGUGUAGCGGUGAAAUGCGCAGAUAUCAGGAGGAACACCGGUGGCGAAGGCGGCUCUCUGGGUCUGUCCUGACGCUCAGGCGCGAAAGCUAGGGGAGCAAACAGGAUUAGAUACCCUGGUAGUCCUAGCCGUAAACGAUGGGUGCUAGGUGUGGGGCGGCGAUUGACUCGCUCUGUGCCGACGCUAACGCAUUAAGCACCCCGCCUGGGGAGUACGGCCGCAAGGCUAAAACUCAAAGGAAUUGACGGGGGCCCGCACAAGCGGCGGAGCAUGUGGCUUAAUUUGACGCGACGCGAAGAACCUUACCAGGGCUUGACAUGCGGGGUGAAACCGUGGAAACACGGUGCCCUUUCGGGGGCCCGCACAGGUGCUGCACGGCUGUCGUCAGCUCGUGCCGUGAGGUGUUGCCUUAAGUGGCGCAACGAGCGCAACCCCUGUUCCAUGUUGCCAGCGAGUGAUGUCGGGGACUCAUGGGGAGACUGCUGGUGCCAAACCGGAGGAAGGUGGGGAUGACGUCAGUCAUCAUGGCCCUUAUGCCCUGGGGCUGCACACAUGCUACAUGCUGCUACAAAGGGCAGCAAUCCCGCAAGGGGAGCGAAUCCCACAAGGCAGCUCAGUCGGAUCGGGGUCUGCUACCUGACCCGUGGAAGUCG
rnacentral:rRNA from 1 species